rnacentral:lncRNA from 10 species
GCUUGCGCAGCUGCUCCGUGCCAGGCUUGGAGGACCAGGAGAAGGGGUAGUCACUUGCCACAGCUGGAGGCUGGAGCGUGUGGCACCACGGCUCGCCUCGCUGUGGUGGGUGCUGGCGACAGAGACGGCAGCUCGGCUGGACUGAUUUGCUGAGAUUUGUUUUGUGGCCUAACAUCUGAUCUACCCUGAAGACACUUCCAUGUGCUGAUGGGGAGAAUGCAUACUCUUCAACUGUUGAGUGGGAUGUUCUGUGAAUAUCUGGAAUGAAGACAUGAAUACCUUUUGGGAGACUACCAUACCUUCACAUGAACUCAGCCACAUGACUAUUUAAUAGAUUGAUCUA